rnacentral:rRNA from 1 species
GACGAACGCUGGCGGCGUGCUUAACACAUGCAAGUCGAACGGUAAGGCCCUUCGGGGUACACGAGUGGCGAACGGGUGAGUAACACGUGGGUGAUCUGCCCUGCACUUCGGGAUAAGCCUGGGAAACUGGGUCUAAUACCGGAUAGGACUCCUGGCUUCAUGGUUGGGGGUGGAAAGCUUUUGCGGGGUGGGAUGGGCCCGCGGCCUAUCAGCUUGUUGGUGGGGUAAGGGCCUACCAAGGCGACGACGGGUAGCCGGCCUGGGAGGGGGACCGGUCACACUGGAACUGAGAUACGGCCCAGACUCCUACGGUAGGCAGCGGUGGAGAAUAUUGCACAAUGGGCGGAAGCCUGAUGCAGCGACGCCGCGUGAGGGAUGACGGCCUUCGGGUUGUAAACCUCUUUCAGCUAUGACGAAGCGCAAGUGACGGUAGUAGCAGAAGAAGGACCGGCCAACCACGUGCCAGCCGCCGCGGUAA